UGGAAACGGGGUCUAAUACCGGAUAACACUCUGUCCCGCAUGGGACGGGGUUAAAAGCUCCGGCGGUGAAGGAUGAGCCCGCGGCCUAUCAGCUUGUUGGUGGGGUAAUGGCCUACCAAGGCGACGACGGGUAGCCGGCCUGAGAGGGCGACCGGCCACACUGGGACUGAGACACGGCCCAGACUCCUACGGGAGGCAGCAGUGGGGAAUAUUGCACAAUGGGCGAAAGCCUGAUGCAGCGACGCCGCGUGAGGGAUGACGGCCUUCGGGUUGUAAACCUCUUUCAGCAGGGAAGAAGCGGAAGUGACGGUACCUGCAGAAGAAGCACCGGCUAACUACGUGCCAGCAGCCGCGGUAAUACGUAGGGUGCGAGCGUUGUCCGGAAUUAUUGGGCGUAAAGAGCUCGUAGGCGGCUUGUCACGUCGGAUGUGAAAGCCCGGGGCUUAACCCCGGGUCUGCAUUCGAUACGGG
rnacentral:rRNA from 1 species